CCUACGGGAGGCAGCAGCGGGGAAUAUUGGACAAUGGGCGAAAGCCUGAUCCAGCCAUGCCGCGUGUGUGAAGAAGGUCUUCGGAUUGUAAAGCACUUUAAGUUGGGAGGAAGGGCAGUAAGCUAAUACCUUGCUGUUUUGACGUUACCGACAGAAUAAGCACCGGCUAACUCUGUGCCAGCAGCCGCGGUAAU
rnacentral:rRNA from 1 species